UCAAUAGGCAUACAUGGUCCUCCUUACCCUCAGUAACAAAACCCUCAGGUUGAUGCAUAUAAAUCUGUUCUUUCAAUUCACCAUGCAAGAAUGCUGUUUUCACAUCGAGUUGCUCCAACUCCAAAUCAUGCAUGGCAACUAAAGCAAGCAAGACACGAAUAGAGCUAUGCUUAACAACAGGUGAGAAAACAUCAUUAAAAUCAACACCAUAUACUUGACUGUAGCCCUUUGCAACCAAUCUUGCCUUGUACUUAGCACCUUCAACACUUGAGGUAGAUUCCUUCCUUUUGAAAACCCAUUUGCAGCCAACAAUUUUCUUCCUUCUUGGCGGCUUGACAAGCUCCCAAGUCUGAUUUUUAUGAAGAGAUUCAAUCUCCUCAUUCAUGGCAAUCAACCACUUUGUGGAAUCAACUGAAGAAAUAGCUUCUGAAUAUGUUGCAGGCUCACUAUUUUCAAUUGUGUCUGCAACAGACAAUGCAUAAGCAACAAUUUCAGCAUGCCCAUAUUUUUGUGGUGGUCUAGCAUUCCUUCUUGGUCUAUGCUUGGCAAUGCUAUACCACUCUUCUUCUUGAUCCCCUUGAACUUCAUCUUCUUCAGUGAAAGUAGGCAGCUGAAUUGAAGUAGAUUUUGAUUUGUUUGAAGAUGGACCAUCAAUUUCAAACUCCACCUUCUCCCCAGAAUUUUUCUGGCUUUCAUCACACUGAAUGUGAGUUUCUUUCCUAGGAUGCAACAUAGCAGACUCAUCAAAAGUAACAUCUCUGCUAAUAAGAAAUUUAGGAGACUUUGGAUCAGGGCACCACCACCUGAAUCCCUUCACUCCAGAUCCAUACCCAAGAAAAAUACAUUUCUUGGCCCUAGGUUCCAACUUCCCAUCAUUCACAUGUGCAUAAGCAGGACAUCCAAAAAUCUUUAAAUUUGAGUAGUCUGCAGGCUUACCUGACCAGACCUCCUCCGUAGUCUUGCACUCAAUGGCUGUGCAAGGAGACCUAUUCACCAACCAAGCUGCUGUGUUUACUGCCUCUGCCCAAAACUCCUUGCCCAAUCUUGCAUUUGACAACAUACAUCUUGCCUUUUCUAACAAGGUUCUGUUCAUACGUUCUGCAACUCCAUUCUGCUAGGGUGUCUUCACAACUGUGUGGUGUCUUGCAAUCCCCUCAUUCUUGCAGAACUCAUUAAAAUCACCUUCACAGAAUUCUAGGCCAUUAUCGGUUCUCAACCUUUUAAUUUGUUUCCCGGUCUGUUUCUCAAGCAAAAUUUUCCACUUCUUAAAAGUAACAAAUACUUCAUUUUUGUGCUUCAAGAAAUAGACCCAGACCUUCCUAGAAAAAUCAUCAAUGAAAGUGAGCAAGUAUCUAGCACCAUUCCCUUUGGAGGGAACCUUGGAGGGUCCCCAAAGAUCUGAAUGAAUAUAGUCCAGAGUUCCCUUGGUCCUGUGAAUAGCAGUACUGAAGCUGACCCUCUUCUGCUUCCCAAACACACAAUGUUCACAGAACUCCAUUUUACCUGUACUCUGACCACAUAAUAGACCUCUUUUACUCAACGAUGCCAUCCCUCUUUCACUCAUAUGGCCCAAUCUCAUGUGCCAUAAAUUUGUAGUAUCAGACUCAGACAUAGAUGAUGAAUCUGCUGCAACUGAACCAGUGACUGUAGUACCCUGCAACACAUACAGACUACCAAUCUUCACUCCUUUCAUCAACAAAAGAGCACCUUUACUGAUCCUCAUGACUCCACCUUCAGCUGUAUAUUUGCACCCAUUUGAAUCAAGAGUGCCAAAACUGAUGAGAUUCUUUUUUCAAAUCAGGAACAUGUCUAACAUUAGACAAGGUUCUGAUAAUGCCAUCAUGCAUCUUAAUUCUGACCGUCCCCUUUCCAACUGUUUUGCAAGAAGCAUUGUUGCCCAUCAACACAACUCCGCCUUGAAUUGAUUCAUAUGUGGAGAACCAUUCACGGUUAG